UGCAAGAAAUGUAGGUUUGAUCCCUGAGUCGGGAAGAACCCCUGGAGAAGGAAAGGGCAACCUGCUCCAGUAUUCUUGCCUGGAGAAUUUCAUGGACAGAGGAGCCUGGCGGGCUGCAAUCCAUGGGGCCGCGAAGAGUCAUACACAACUGGGCACAUUGAUGCACACGCACAUAUAUAAUAAGCAUCCAUGGAAGUAUAUAUUUUUAUAUACAGUUCCUUUAACUAGCAGCCUUUCCAUCAGCUAUAGCUACCACUAUGAUUAUCACUUUAAAUAAUCCUUGGCUUGUUAAAAUUAAUGGAGAUGAAUGUAAUUUUAUAAUAGGAAAUGUUGUUUUUGGGGUGUGAAACAAUAGUAAUAAAUUUGAAUAAAUAUUUGCUAUUUGUUUUCAUAAAAGUUUAAAUCCUCCAAAGAGAACUCUGACCGAAAUAGGAAUAGAGCAGGAUCAAGGAAACAGGUGGUAUGAGUCAUAUCACUGGCUUUCAGUUAAAGGAUGCUGUGACUGUUGGCGUGGACCACACAUAGGCAGUUUCAGAAUUUCUUAAGCUGAAAUCCAGCUGGAGAGUUCUUAAUCAUGGUGGACUUAUCUUCAUCAUUUAUAGUCUUUCUGUGAAUUGAUGGGCAUUGGUGAUGGGGUUUUGAUACCUAAAUCUCAGUUUAAAAAAAUUCAAAGAGGCAUAUGAAUCCUCAGGCUGAGACAUUUCCUGAGCUAGCGGGUUCUCGUGCAAAGCUAAUAUGUGUAAUAGAGACUCAGUCUCUCGCUGUACAGUUUUGUCAUCCUGUUUCAAUAACUAAAUGAAUAUUCUGAAUUAAUAAGCUUAACGUUUGUAUAAGCUAAAGACUAGUCUAAGCUCUGCAUUCAUUGAUGGGAGCCUUAAGCAAAUGUUUCUUUUCAUCAGCUUGUUCAAGAGGCAUAAAUGUAAUUAUGGUUCUGAGGUCAUAACAUAACAAUUGGUCAACACAGUAACUGACUCUGGAACAGGUAGCAAAGUUAUGGGUUGUAAGUUGCUUUGAAUCCUUGGAAGGUCCUGAAGGAUUGUGUUUUUUUUUUUUUUCAAAUGUAUAUAUAUGUAUACUUUUAUCGUAUAAAAUAGAGACUGAGCGUUAAAGUAUAUCUGUAGAACUGAGUUUUGUUUUUAUUUUAUCUUAUCUGUUUACUGUCUUAAAAUUUAUUUUGUUGAAAUAUAGUUGAUUUACGAUGUGUUAAUAUCUGUGUUCGGACAUGACUGAGCGACUUCUCUACUAUUCUUUUCCUCAUGGUUUAUCACAGGAUACUGAAUAGAGUUCCUUGUGCUAUUACAGUAGGACCUUGUGGUUGAAUUUGCUUUUUUUAGUUAAUUCUUUGGUUAAACAUGAAGCAGAAGCUGAUAUUCUUAUCUUCACAGAAAAUACAGAAAAGUGUUAGAAAUAUCCAAGAAUGAGUUAAAGCUCUUAAAAUGCCAAGGGGGCACGAUGGGAAAGAUGGGCUCCGUUUGCCUCUCCUCCCACCCCUCUGCUCCGUAUCGUCUGCUAAGUUAGUUAGUUCAGGAAAACAGAAGGAUGAGUUUUGGGGGACACACCUCAUUUUGUCCCCCUUUCUUUCUUCCUCUGCAUCCUGCAUGUUGCCUGCUUUGUAUCUGUUCAGAGGCAGGAUGUUACGAAGCCAGAGAAAGAGUGAGAGGCGUGUCCGCUCCACAGGCUGCAGACUCCUCACUCUCCUGUUACUGCCGCUCAUUCUUUCAACAGGGAUCCCAGCCCUGUCUCAUGUCAUGCACGGGUCUCAUUUCGGUGUAUGAUUUCGUUUAAUUCUCUCAAGAGCCCUUCACGGUUGUUAUUAUCAUCUCCAUGGCACAGGUGAUGGAACCUAGACUUUUAGGGAAGUAAGGAGCAUUUUCAAGAC
ensembl:lncRNA